UACGUAGGUGGCAAGCGUUGUCCGGAUUUACUGGGCGUAAAGAGCGCGCAGGCGGCUGACCAAGUCCGACGUGAAAGCUCCCGGCUCAACUGGGAAAUUGCAUCGGAAACUGGUUGGCUUGAAGGUGGGAGAGGGUAGUGGAAUUCCCGGUGUAGUGGUGAAAUGCGUAGAUAUCGGGAGGAACACCAGUGGCGAAGGCGACUACCUGGCCCACUCUUGACGCUGAGGCGCGAAAGCUAGGGGAGCGAACGGG
rnacentral:rRNA from 1 species